rnacentral:rRNA from 1 species
UGGGGAAUCUUGGACAAUGGGCGCAAGCCUGAUCCAGCCAUGCCGCGUGAGCGAUGAAGGCCUUAGGGUUGUAAAGCUCUUUCACCGGUGAAGAUAAUGACGGUAGCCGGAGAAGAAGCCCCGGCUAACUCCGUGCCAGCAGCCGCGGUAAUACGGAGGGGGUUAGCGUUGUUCGGAAUUACUGGGCGUAAAGCGCACGUAGGCGGACCAGAAAGUUGGGGGUGAAAUCCCGGGGGCUCAACCCCGGAACUGCCUCCAAAACUAUUGGUCUAGAGUUCGAGAGAGGUGAGUGGAAUUCCAAGUGUAGAGGUGAAAUUCGUAGAUAUUUGGAGGAACACCAGUGGCGAAGGCGGCUCACUGGCUCGAUACUGACGCUGAGGUGCGAAAGUGUGGGGAGCAAACAGGAUUAGAUACCCUGGUAGUCCACACCGUAAAACGAUGAAUGCCAGUCGUCGGGUAGCAUGCUAUUCGGUGACACACCUAACGGAUUAAGCAUUCCGCCUGGGGAGUACGGUCGCAAGAUUAAAACUC